UCGCCCUUAGAGUUUGAUCCUGGCUCAGGAUGAACGCUAGCUACAGGCUUAACACAUGCAAGUCGAGGGGAAACGACAUCGAAAGCUUGCUUUUGAUGGGCGUCGACCGGCGCACGGGUGAGUAACGCGUAUCCAACCUGCCCACCACUUGGGGAUAACCUUGCGAAAGUAAGACUAAUACCCAAUGACGUCUCUAGAAGACAUCUGAAAGAGAUUAAAGAUUUAUCGGUGAUGGAUGGGAAUGCGUCUGAUUAGCUUGUUGGCGGGGUAACGGCCCACCAAGGCGACGAUCAGUAGGGGUUCUGAGAGGAAGGUCCCCCACAUUGGAACUGAGACACGGUCCAAACUCCUACGGGAGGCAGCAGUGAGGAAUAUUGGUCAAUGGACGAGAGUCUGAACCAGCCAAGUAGCGUGCAGGAUGACGGCCCUAUGGGUUGUAAACUGCUUUUAUAAGGGAAUAAAGUGAGUCUCGUGAGACUUUUUGCAUGUACCUUAUGAAUAAGGACCGGCUAAUUCCGUGCCAGCAGCCGCGGUAAUACGGAAGGUCCGGGCGUUAUCCGGAUUUAUUGGGUUUAAAGGGAGCGUAGGCCGGAGAUUAAGCGUGUUGUGAAAUGUAGACGCUCAACGUCUGCACUGCAGCGCGAACUGGUUUCCUUGAGUACGCACAAAGUGGGCGGAAUUCGUGGUGUAGCGGUGAAAUGCUUAGAUAUCACGAAGAACUCCGAUUGCGAAGGCAGCUCACUGGAGCGCAACUGACGCUGAAGCUCGAAAGUGCGGGUAUCGAACAGGAUUAGAUACCCUGGUAGUCCGCACGGUAAACGAUGGAUGCCCGCUGUUGGUCUGAAUAGGUCAGCGGCCAAGCGAAAGCAUUAAGCAUCCCACCUGGGGAGUACGCCGGCA
rnacentral:rRNA from 1 species